CCGGUCCGCCUCACCGCGAGUACUGGUCCGGCUGGGCCUUUCCUUCUGGGGAACCUCAUGGCCUUCACUGGCUGUGGGGGGAAACACGAGUUUUACUGUGAAAAAAUUAGAGUGUUCAAAGCAGGCCUUUGCUCGAGUACAUUAGCAUGGAAUAAUAGAAUACGACGUGCGGUUCUAUUUUGUUGGUUUCUAAGACCGCCGUAAUGAUUAAUAGGGAUAGUCGGGGGCGUCAGUAUUCAGCUGUCACAGGUGAAAUUCUUGGAUUUGCUGAAGACUAACUACUGCG
rnacentral:rRNA from 1 species